GCCUGUGGUCAAGGGGUUAAGACACCGCCUUUUCACGGCGGUAACACGGGUUCGAAUCCCGUACGGACU
rnacentral:tRNA from 1 species